UGUUCUAUGGCUUAGUUGGUUAGAGCAUUAGUCUAGCAAAUACGGAAUCGUGGGUUCGAAUCCCACCAGAACGC
rnacentral:tRNA from 1 species